AAGGCGCCGAGACCCUCCUUUCGUCCAUUUUGGUGCAGCUUUUCUUCUGCAAUGGCGACUGCGACGAGCAUGGCCUCAUGGGAAGUUUCCAUGCAGGCUGCUGGGAUGAGCAGGCGGAAAUCUGUUAAAUUCAAGGGCUCCUUCACGUGAUCUUGGAGGGCAUGGUGACCAUAGAUGUUGUAUUGAUCAUCCCACUUUGUCUUGGUGGUAGUGGUGUGGCUAUAAAGAUGUUCAUGUAGUGUUGGAACAAAAUGGCUUUUUCAGCAAGAACCUGCAACUCCCUAAGGACUGUUAUUUGUGCAAAACGAAGCGGGUCAUGUCCUUUGGUGGUAUUAGGUUGCAUACCUGAAGUACUCUCAGCAGGUUGCAUACCUGAAAUGCUCCGCAGGUGGCACAUCUGAGAUGAGACAUUCACAGGACUACAGUGGAUUCUUGAAGUCCUUCCCCCUUGAGCAUACUAUAACAGACUGCAGUGAAUUUUCCCUCAGAGUUCUUUACCCCUUGAGCGUACUGAAGCUGGUGUUGCUACUGUCCAUCCAGGUUGUCCCAGUGUCACUUGAUUGCUGGUGUUCUGUUGACUUUAAAGGUCACGUAAACUGCAUCAGAAGUUGAACUGGCUGACACGCUGAUCUGUGUCCUUGUACAUCUGCUUAACUGGAGUGUUGGCUGAAUGGUGUUAUUGACUGACGAUAUAAAUGGAAUGUGUUUCCUUUGUAUUCUUUAUUCAAAAGCUGCUUGCAAAAUAAAUGGCUUUACUGAA